GAUGAACGCUAGCUCCAGGCUUAACACAUGCAAGUCGAGGGACCGGCGCACGGGUGAGUAACACGUAUCCCACCUGCCCUUUACUCGGUGAUAGCCUUUCGAAAGAAAGAUUAAUACCCGAUAUAAAGGAUGGGGAGGCGUUCCAUUAGGUUGUUGGGGAGGUAACGGCCCACCAAGCCUUCGAUGGAUAGGGGUUCUGAGAGGAAGGUCCACCACAGUGGAACUGAGACACGGGCCAAACUCCUACGGGAGGCAGCAGUGAGGAAUAGUGGGCAAUGGGCGUUAGCCUGAACCAGCCAAGUAGCGUGAAGGAUGAAGGCUUAUGGGUCGUAAACUUCUUGUAUAGAAGAAUAUGUAUUAUAUGAAUAAGGAUCGGCUAACUCCGUGCCAGCAGCCGCGGUAAUUC
rnacentral:rRNA from 1 species